GAGCGUGGAGUGCGGGGAAAUCCUGCAUGCUCCAUGUGGAGCAGGGGAAAAGCCGGAGAUAACAUCAAACGCUUACCUAUUGCUAA
rnacentral:misc_RNA from 1 species